rnacentral:rRNA from 1 species
AAGGGUCCGUAGCCGGUUUAAUCAGUCUUCUGGGAAAUCUAAUCGCUUAACUAUUAGGCUUCCAGGGGAUACUGUUAGACUUGGGACCGGGAGAGGUAAGAGGUACUGCAGGGGUAGGAGUGAAAUCUUGUAAUCCCUGUGAGACCACCAGUGGCGAAGGCGUCUUACCAGAACGGGUCCGACGGUGAGGGACGAAAGCUGGGGGCACGAACCGGAUUAGAUACCCGGGUAGUCCCAGCUGUAAACGAUGCUCGUUAGGUGUCAGGAACGGUGCGACUGUUUCUGGUGCCGAAGGGAAGCCGUGAAACGAGCCACCUGGGAAGUACGGCCGCAAGGCUGAAACUUAAAGGAAUUGGCGGGGGAGCACUACAACGGGUGGAGCCUGCGGUUUAAUUGGACUCAACGCCGGAAAACUCACCGGGGGCGACAGCAAUAUGUAGGUCAGGUUAAAGGUCUUACCUGAAUCGCUGAGAGGAGGUGCAUGGCCGUCGUCAGUUCGUACUGUGAAGUAUCCUGUUAAGUCAGGCAACGAGCAAGACCCGUGCCCACUGUUACCAGCAUAUCCUUUAUGGAUGAUGGGGACUCUGUGGGGACCGCUGCUGCUAAAGCAGAGGAAGGUGCGGGCUACGGUAGGUCAGUAUGCCCCGAAUCUCCCGGGCUACACGCGGGCUACAAUGGUUGGGACAAUGGGUAUCUACUCCGAAAGGAGUUGGCAAUCUCUUAAACCCAAUCGUAGUUCGAAUUGAGGGCUGUAACUCGCCCUCAUGAAGCUGGAAUCCGUAGUAAUCGCGUUUCAACAUAGCGCGGU